UACGUAGGGACCAAGCGUUGUUCGGAUUUACUGGGCGUAAAGGGCGCGUAGGCGGCUUGUUAAGUCAGCUGUGAAAUCUCCGAGCUUAACUCGGAACGGUCAGCUGAUACUGAUGUGCUAGAGUGCAGAAGGGGCAAUCGGAAUUCUUGGUGUAGCGGUGAAAUGCGUAGAUAUCAAGAGGAACACCUGAGGUGAAGACGGGUUGCUGGGCUGACACUGACGCUGAGGCGCGAAAGCCAGGGGAGCAAACGGG
rnacentral:rRNA from 1 species